GACGAACGCUGGCGGCGUGCUUAACACAUGCAAGUCGAACGGAAAGGCCCUGCUUUUGUGUGGUGCUCGAGUGGCGAACGGGUGAGUAACACGUGAGUAACCUGCCCUUGACUUUGGGAUAACUUCAGGAAACUGGGGCUAAUACCGGAUAGGAGCUCCUGCUGCAUGGUGGGGGUUGGAAAGUUUCGGCGGUUGGGGAUGGACGCGCGGCUUAUCAGCUUGUUGGUGGGGUAGUGGCUUACCAAGGCUUUGACGGGUAGCCGGCCUGAGAGGGUGACCGGCCACAUUGGGACUGAGAUACGGCGCAGACUCCUACGGGAGGCAGCAGUGGGGAAUAUUGCACAAUGGGCGGAAGCCUGAUGCAGCAACGCCGCGUGCGGGAUGACGGCCUUCGGGUUGUAAACCGCUUUCGCCUGUGACGAAGCGUGAGUGACGGUAAUGGGUAAAGAAGCACCGGCUAACUACGUG
rnacentral:rRNA from 1 species